rnacentral:tRNA from 1 species
GGUGCCUUGGCCGAGCGGUGAGGCAGCGGCCUGCAAAGCCGCGCAGGCGGGUUCGACUCCCGCAGGCACCUC